AUUAUGUGUUACAGAAAAUGUAAUUAGUCAUUUGUUUUCAUUAUAAAAAGUGUAGAAUUGACUAUUUCUUAUCAAAUGAAUGUAAUGUUUGGUUCUUCCUUAUGUAGUUUAAUACAUUUUCUUCUUGUUAAGUUGUCUGAUUUUGAGGAGCUGUUGUCCUCAUCUUGAAGAAAAAUGGAGAACAAAAGGAGGUGCAGCACCUGGCCACUAGUGGAGCGCAACAGUUUGUCAUGCCAACUGGAGUUGUCAGAGAAUUCUGCCUUUUCUUUGCAGGUGUAAACACAACUGGACCACAGGAGGGUCGGAGGAGCCGAGCAGAUCUAGUUCAGGCGGUUAAAGACGUCUUCAAUUCUACAUUUAGUAUCUUUAUGUUUAAAGUGAUUUCCUUUCUCACAAUAGCAAACAGCAGAUGCAUUUAGUCACAUCAAUAGAUUACAGAUGCAUUUAGUCACAUCAAUAGAUUACAGAUGUAUUUAUUCACAUCAAUAGAUUACAGAUGUAUUUAUUCACAUCAAUAGAUUACAGAUGCAUUUAGUCACAUCAAUAGAUUACAGAUGCAUUUAGUCACAUCAAUAGAUUACAGAUGUAUUUAUUCACAUCAAUAGAUUACAGAUACAUUUAGUCACAUCAAUAGAUUACAGACAACAUGUAAUGUUGUUUAGUGUUCCCUGUAACACUAAACAGUUUGUAUGUAUGUUAUUCAUGGAAAGCUCUCUGUGUCUUCCCUGUUAGAUGAAUGUGGUGGAAAAGGUUGGUUCCCCAUCGUCAUUAGAUGGCUGGGGCAUCAGUUAACCAUUAAGCAACUGUCAUCUUUUGGAAACAAACAACUGGAAAACAUAUUAGUAGCUCACAACUGCUGGGGGCGCUGUUAUCUGUUUUGGGACUCAACCGCUGACAAACACAAACGAAGAAGACAACACGGAAGUAGGCUUGAUAAUUGUUUUGUUUUUGUAGAAGGCACCUGGCGUAGACGCAUUGAACUGAAUACC
rnacentral:lncRNA from 8 species